UUCGCAAUGCCCGAAAGGGUGACGAAGCGACGCCGCGUGGGGGAAGAAGGCCUUCGGGUUGUAAACCACUGUCGGGAGUUAGGAAAUGUAAGGGUGCUAAUAGUAUCCUUACUUGACUAAGGCUCCGGAGGAAGCCACGGCUAACUCUGUGCCAGCAGCCGCGGUAAUACAGAGGCGGCAAGCGUUGUUCGGAAUUAUUGGGCGUAAAGAGCACGUAGGCGGCCUUGUAAGUCAGUUGUGAAAGCCUUCUGCUUAACGGAAGAACAGCAGCUGAUACUGCAAGGCUAGAGUGCGGAAGGGGAGAGUGGAACUUCUGGUGGAGCGGUGAAAUGCGUAGAUAUCAGAAGGAACACCGGCGGCGAAGGCGACUCUCUGGUCCGUAACUGACGCUGAGUGUGCGAAAGCUAGGGGAGCAAACGGGAUUAGAUACCCCGGUAGUCCUAGCCGUAAAC
rnacentral:rRNA from 1 species